CCUGGUCAGGACGAACGCUGGCGGCGUGCCUAAUACAUGCAAGUCGAACGAACUGUGGAAAGCUUGCUUUCAGAGUUAGUGGCGAACGGGUGAGUAACACGUAAGUAACCUAGCUAUUAGACGAGGAUAACUACUGGAAACGGUAGCUAAGACUGGAUAUGAUAGAAAUAUUUAAAGGAUGCUAAGGCAUCGCUAAUAGAGGGGCUUGCGGCGCAUUAGCUAGUUGGUAGGGUAAAAGCCAACCAAGGCGAUGAUGCGUAGCCGACCUGAGAGGGUGACCGGCCACACUGGGACUGAGACACGGCCCAGACUCCUACGGGAGGCAGCAGUAGGGAAUCUUCGGCAAUGGACGAAAGUCUGACCGAGCAACGCCGCCGUGAGUGAAGAAAGUUUUCGGAUUGUAAAGCUCUGUUAUUAGGGAAGAAAGGCUCUAGGAGGAAAUGCUUAGGGAUUGACGGUACCUAAUGAGGAAGCCACGGCUAACUACGUGCCAGCCGCCGC
rnacentral:rRNA from 1 species